CUCAUCCACAACCCACACACCUGUGCACCAAAGGGCGGCGGGUGGAUAACGCACGCCGUCUCGCUUUAACAAGCUCAAAAGUCUUUUUGAAUGUCAUUUAUUCGGGCUAGCCCCGAUGUAACUUAAACAUAACACUUUCAACAACGGAUCUCUUGGCUCUCGCAUCGAUGAAGAACGCAGCGAAUGCGAUAAGUAAUGUGAAUUGCAGAAUUCAGUGAAUCAUCGAAUCUUGAACGCACCUUGCGCCCAUUGGUAUUCCGAUGGGCAUGCCUGUUUGAGUUCUUGAAAUCAUCAAGCCCGUUCGGUUUCACAGCCGAGCGUGGGUUGGAUUGGGGGCUUGCCGCUUCGCCGCGGCUCCCCUUAAAUGCAUCGGUUUCGGUCUCUGUGGGAGUAACCCCUUGGGCGUUGUAUAACCCUCGCUGUCUGGAACUCCACGCGACGUCCGCGUCGUUGAAGGGCCUUGAAGAAACCUCGACUGCUGUAGAGUGGCGGUCAUUGUUAAAUCGAAAUCUGACCUCUAAAUCGGGUAGGACUACCCGCUGAACUUAAGCUAUAUCAAUAAGCCGGGAAGGGA
rnacentral:rRNA from 1 species